AUGCUUAAAGUCCUCAUCUCAUUCCUAGGCGUACCUUUUCUCCUGGGAGACAUCCAAGCACAGUCAGUUACACAGCCAGAUGCCCAUGUCACUGUCUUUGAAGGAGACUCGGUGGAACUCAGAUGCAACUAUUCUUUUGGUGGAGCUCCUCUCCUCUUCUGGUACAUGCAGCGCCCUGGUCAAGGCCUCCAGCUUCUCCACAGGUACUUUUCAGGAGAAACUGUGGUUCAUGGAGUUAAUGGCUUUGAGGCAAACUUUCAGAAGAGUAUCUCUUCCUUCCAUCUGAAGAAAGCCUCUGUGCACUGGAGCGACUCGGCUGUGUACUUCUGUGCUCUGAGUGCACAGUGUCUGAGGCUGCAGGGGGAGCUGAAUGCAAACCUGUAA